GCCCCGUGGGAAUCCUCCGGACGAGCCCGGCUGGCCUCUGCCACCCGAGGUCAAGGCACUCAAGGAGCAGCGGCCGCCACCCUUUGAACCUCCUGAAACAUCAUACGCAGAACAUUGCCCGGCGCCCGGGGAGGCACGUCUCUGCUGAGCAAGGCCGAUGUUUGGAUGGUGCUUGGAGAAGGAAAAGGGAUAGAUAACGCCUGACUUUUUGUUCCCAAGGAUUUCAAAGUGCAUUUAGAUGCACAUGAGGUUGCCACUUCACACGGCUGUCUAGAUGACGGUGCAAGAAAUAUUGUCACCUCCUCGACCCCAAGACAGACCCAGAGUGAGACACAGAAGUGUGUCACAAUCUCCGGGCCUCUGCUCAAAUAGCUCAUCCUAUCAGGUGCACGUGAGUGGGGACGUCAUUCUGGGCUCUGGGUGUGGGCACCUUUCUGUUAGUGUGAAGACGUGCUCCCGUCACAGAGAUAAGGUAACUGCGGGUGUAAACAGUCGGUUCACAAACCAGCUCAUGGACGACUCCAGGAGCUGGCGGCUGACCACCCCGGCCUGGGCUGCCUCCUUCCCACCUGAGAACGCCUUCCUCUCUCCAAAGUCCUGCACGGUGCAGCUCGCACCUGAGCCCUGUCCCCAAAGUACCGAGACGCUCGUGGGUUCUCUAGCUCUGAGUUUGGGUCAGACGCUACCCCAAAGCCCUGAGCUAGAACUUUCAAACCCACCCUCCAAACACACACACACAGGCAGCUUCCUGCCAGCUUCAAACCCCGAGGCUACAAACGAGCGUGGCAGGAGAUGCCACUCGUCACCGUGAAAGUCAACAGAUCCUCGUCCCGGUCACAUGAGCGUGAUGAGGCCGUCACGGUGAACAAAUGCUCUCCAGAUGGCACCAGGACAGCCAGCGGGGUCACUCCAGACGGGCCUGGGGAAGACAUUUGGCAUGGAUCAGCGGCACCCAGGACAAACGUGGGGGUGAGUUCAAACCAGGUGCCGCUUCCUCCUUAGCUUCCCUCCCGAUAAUGCAGGAAGAAAUUCCUAUGGGGAAACAAAUCCCAUGUUCUCCAGCUAGUCUCUCUGCUGGUUUGAACUGGCUUCCCAGUGGGGAAUCUCUGCCCCUUUUGCUGGGUCUUGGCAGAGCAAGAAAACAUUUUAACAUCUUACAACGCUGAUAAGUCGCUGGUGCCCACGUGAACGAUGACCGACACCCUCCGAGGGCGGCAGCCUCUCCCUUCGAUGGAGCUUCUUUGACCUCGAUUACCGAACACCAGUGUGUUACUAUGUUCAGAUGCUGUGUAUAAAAUGCUAGAAAUCCAAGUCAAAUUCGCUGAAGCAAGUGGGAAUUCACUGGUCUCCACACCUGGAAGACGCAGGAGGACCUGGCUUCAGGUACUGGCGUCACCGGGCCCCACUUCCCCCAGGAGCAGGGCUUGGUCUCGGGACGGCUUUUCUAGGAGGGGCAGAGCUUGUCACAGCAGCUGGACCUCCGUCUUCCAGCCUGGAAACGCUGCCCAGAGACUCCCUGUAAAGGGCCUUGGGUCCCAUGGGACCAGGCUGGGGCAGAGCCGCACCGGCGUCAACCACCGGAGCCACCACUCGGGUACGUCCACCCUAGGCCCGUGCGCUGUGGGGGAUGGAGGGAGGGACAGACGGCCUGUGGACAGGCAGGAAGUGUGCAGACGAAGGAACAAAACGUCUGCUCCAAGUCGUGCAGAAGCACCCCUUCGGGAGAGACACCGGAACAUUUUUAGGGUGAUCGUGUCUGUGCCAGCCAAGUUUCACCUUUCCCUGUUCUUAGGUGCCUCAGUGUGGGUGGGCAGAGGGCGGCACGGCUUGUAAACACGUGAGCAAGUGUCGCCCCUGGGCAACCGGCUGUUGCAUCCUGGGGGGAUCUGCAGUCCCCGUGACAUUUGGGAACGUGUUGUUGUUCAGGGUGGGGCCGCUGGUGAGAACAGACCGUCCCAGCUCUCUGCCAAGGGUGUCACGCCCACGUGGGUGAGGACGCACGGAGGCGAGAGGGCCCCACCAGGAAACCGAGCUUCAUUUCAGAGACUCUUCAGGAGCAGGCUCUGUGGGGACAUUGGUGUGUCCUCAAAGUCCUGCUACAGGGAAACACGUGGCACCAUACCAAACAACCAGGGCUAGCACUGCUGGUCCAGGGCGAGGUCCCCCACAAAUGCAGUCCAGCCAGGGCCAAGCCACCCUGUGUUCACGUUCCACCCCCACCAGGGUCCUCACAGGCUCCUGCCUGGGUGCAGGAGAUGGGGGUGCGGUGGGGGGUGGACAGGUGCAGGCAGAGGUCCCUCCUGGAGGGUCUGUGGGGGGGGACCCGGAACACAGCAGUCCCUACUGCCUCUCGGAGAAAGGAACGUGCCUGUCAAAAGCGAAGAGAAAAGAGAGAGAGGAAAACAGACUCCCCAUGGGAACAGGCGCUGCCACCAGAUGCCCCGCAGUGUGGUGCUUAGUGCCGAGGUUGGAGGGAACGUGUGCCAAGCCCCUGUCACCACAGUGAAUGUACGAGGAGCAGGACAGAGCCCUCCUGGCUCACGGGCUGGAAUGAGGUUCAGAUGGCAUCGUUUGUUCAUUCAUGGACAGUCACCACGCACCCACUGCAGGCCAGCACAGCUCCAGGCACCUGACAAAGGGGAAGGAGACCCGUGACUGUCACACGGCAGCCAAGCAGGGGGCAUCGCCGUCUGAGUGCGGACCCUGCAGGUAAGCCCACGGGACCCGCAGCCCUUGUGGCCCGGGCUGGGCUGCUUGUUCCACCGGAUCAGGCGGGCCAGACAACCACGAUCUCACACCUCUGCCUUUCCCCAUUUCUAAAGUGCCCCCCUGCCCACCUUGCGGUCCUCCGAUCCUCUCGGUGGUGGGGCUGGGUUAAGCCCCAGCUCUGCGCGCAGACGGCCCCUGACCUCACUGGGAAGAGAAAGUGAAAUCCUAACCUUGGCCUCUAUAUCAAGACACAGGGACAAAGACAAACUCAAAAUUCUUCAAGUGGUUGAAAUAAGCAUUCCAGGAAAACGGUGAAAGCAACUCAGUAGAACUCCACCUGAAUGCUCAUUAGAAGCCGUAAGUGGAGACAGCGAUCAGUGCAUGAAAACACACAGGACGUUCUGUUAUGAGGGAAACGAAGACAUAACACGCACCCGCCAGCACGCCUGUGCUAAAUUCCUGGCUGAGGUGGGAAAUGCGGCUCCCGAAGCUGGGAGGCGAGUCCAGGAGCAGCUCCUGCCCCCCGCACGGGGUCCCUUCCCCGACGUGAAUGGGCAGGUGCCCUCGUGGCUACGAUCACACCAGAGGGAGGACUGUGUGCCACCACCAGGCUCUGGGACCACGGCGUGGACGCGUGGGCACGCUGGAGGGCAGAGAAGAACAGAGAAAAGAAAACAGCCAAAUCUGUCUACAAGAUACGACACUGGGGAUUGAGGAAUUGGCACCAAAUCGGAGGAGGAAAACUGACCUACGACAGACCCACACCAAGAACAAGGAACAGAGAGAGAGGAGACGAACGGCCCAGUGAGUUCUGACACUCAUCUCCACGUCCCCUGAAUGAACGAGUUCCAGGACAAGGGACCUCAACAGAGCCCAUGGCAGGUGGCUGAACAGGCAUUUCAGAGUUGUCACAUUAUGUACUUUAAACAUUAUGGUUUGUUUUGAAUAAUAUUGGUUACUCAAAGUUUCAACCCAUGGUUGAAAUUCACAAGGUAUUUAAAUACAUAGUAAAAGAGGUUUGAAACUAAACCAACUGUUUUCCCAUAACAUUGCUCUCAGCUCACCCUAAAACUGUGACGUGUUAUUUGCAAUACGAAGGUACCAGUGAGGUCUAAUUGAGCACAUUCUGUGUGUGUCUCCACGCUGACUCGGUUUACAAACUGAUGUGACUCGGCAAGGUACGUACCCCAAGAAACUCUGAAAGGUACAUACCCCAAGAAACUGAAAGCAAAGACCCGGAGACAUUUGCACACUGUGUUCAAAGCAGCAUUUGCCACAACAGCCAGAGCAUGAAGCGACCCAAGUGUCAAAUGCCUGAUAGACGAAUAAAAUGUGGUCCAUCCACACAGUGGAAUAUUAUUCAGCCUUGAAAAGGAACUUCUGAUGCACGGAUGGAUCUUGAGGAUAGCGUGUCCAGUGAAAUAGGCCAGUCACCGAAGGACUGAUACCGUAUGAUUCCACUUAAACGAGGACCUGGAGCAGGUGGAUUCGCAGAGACAGAAAGGACGGUGGGUGCCAGGGGCUGGAGCAGAGAGAGGGAGUGUUUAACGAGGACAGAGUUGCAGUUUGAGAGGAUGAGAAAGUUCUGGAGAUGGAUGGUGGUGAUGGCUGCACAACAGUGUGAACGUGCUUAAUGCCCCAGAACUGUGCACUUAAGGACAGUUAUGGGCCGGGCGCGGUGGCUCACGCCUGGAAUCCUGGGUGACAGAGCAAGACCCCGUCUCAAAAGAGUUAUGGUAAAUUAUAUGUAAUGUGCAUUUUAUCACAAUAAAAAAUUGAAUUGGGGGGAGAAAAAAAGUUACUAGAUCAGAAAAAGUCAUUGUUACACUCUCCAGACAUCUUCCUGCUUCUACUUUUCUCACAGGGAAGGGCAACGAUAGGGACACAGGUGGCACCUGCCCUGUAAGGGCCUCUGAUGCACUCGACUUUCGGCCCCAGGAGAAUAUCACUUCGAGGGUGAGAGAUCUCUGGACGCCUCCAGCCCGGCUCUUUGGAACAAAAUGAGACAAAGGGAAAGUGGCUUCUCUCCCCGUUGCUUUUAUGGGCCCCAGCUCUGCCAGCCACCAGGGCUUGAGUUCCAGGGUGACCUUGGGGUUCACCUGCUGCCUCCUUCACCUACCCUACCCACGGCCACUCAGGUGUGGCCCCUACCUCUGGGGCCUCCCUGCUGCCCAACUCCACACGGACACCAGACUGAUCUUCCCAAAGCACCCAAAUUCCUCGGUUACUCCAAAGCAUCCGGGGCUCGCUGCUGCCUGCUAAGCAAAAUCUCAGCUCCAGGCCUGCUGGUCGGGGAGACUCUGGGGACUUCACACUCUCUGCUCUCCCCUGGCAGGGCCUACGGCCCGUCCCUGAUGGGGGUGGUUGAGUGCACAGGCUCUGGAGUGAGAUCUGGACUCGACUCCUCGCUCCACCUCACCUCUCUAUCCAGUGUCCUCACUAGAGAAAAGGAUGCUGAUGACACAGGUCUCAGAGGACAUGAGACACCAACAGGAAACGCAGUCGUCAUCUGCCUUUGCCAAACAUAUCUGGGUUCUGCUGACCUCGUGUGCUCUACCUCGAAUGUCUAAGCCUCACUCCCCUGCGGGUCCAGCUCAAAGCCCACCUUCUCCAGGAGCCCUCGCUCCUCUGAACACUGUUCUUGGGAGUGUUCAGCCCCAAGGCGGAGGUUUCCUGCCCUGUCUCACAACCUGACGCCUUGUGUUCCUCCAGGGCACAGCCACCUGGUCGAGGCGGUGACAACAAACAGCCCAUGCAAUGCAGCAUCCCUGGCACCAGAGACAACUGCUGAAUGGAGAAGGGUCCCAGCAGAUGUUGACAUGACGGUGACUCCAGAAAUCAUUUAAACACUGGACUCCUCAAGGCUGAGUAUUUUUGCUGCUGGAUAUUUAAAACAAAGGGGAGCUUCAAAAAGGAAGGUGGUGGCCAGGCACAGUGGCACAUGUCUAUAAUCCCAGCACUCUGGGAGGCAAACUGAGCCCAAGGGUUCUAGA